AUGAAGCACCGUUCACUGCUUAUCGUUUAGUUUUCCUUUACAAUCCCAUUUCCAUCGAAUACCGUUGUUCCAGUUCCUUAUAGCCCGACCAUGCAACUGUUGAUCGUUUUCGUCUCCGUCAUCGCAGUGACCUGCGGUCAGUUCCUCAACCCAUUCGGAUUUGGGCCAUUUGGAUUCGGUGGUUUCCCCAUCCCUGUUAAGGUCCCCGUGCCAGUUCAAGUACCUGUACAAGUGCCAGUCCCUGUCCCAGCUCUCGGGGGAUCUGAUGAAUAUGCUGCUUCUCUGGGAGGGGCCCCAGUCGGGCUCUACAGCAAGACCAGAGGAGGCCCCGGACUCGGAAUCGGCGGAGGACUAGGAGGCUCUGACGUCAGCAGUGCCUCCCUAGCCGGUGCAAAGGUUGGUGUCUAUGGAAAGGAAAGGCCAUCCGCUGGAGCCGUGCCAUUGCCUGUGCCACUUGCAGUUCCAUACGGUCGUCCAGCAGGCAGACCAAGGCCCUCAAGAUACUAGACAUGGAUGAACUCUGUAAUUUAAACAAGAGCAUGAGUGAGAAGUGGCAAAGAAUGAAACUAUGGAUGUGCGUAACUGUAAAUUAUUGCUGAAACAAAUAAAUGCCUGCUUGAUA